CGUGUAGGCUGCUCUGCAAGUCGGGUGUGAAAGCCCUGGGCUCAACCUAGGAAGAGCACUCGAAACUGCAGAGCUUGAGUCCUGGAGAGGAUAGCGGAAUUCUCGGUGUAGAGGUGAAAUUCGUAGAUAUCGAGAGGAACACCGGUGGCGAAGGCGGCUAUCUGGACAGUGACUGACGCUGAGACGCGAAAGCGUGGGGAGCAAACA
rnacentral:rRNA from 1 species